CUCGGGAGGUGCUCUUAGCUGGGGAGGACUUCUUCGUUUUCGGGUUGUCAUUGUAUUAUUAUUUUUGCAAUUAUUUUAAAGGACUGGAGACUGAUGCAUGAGGGGCCCACGGAGGCGCAGGAGCGGUGGUGAUGGUGUGGGAAGCGGAGCUGAAGUGCGCUGGGCUUUGGUGAGGAGUGACAGUUGAUCAUGACUGUGUUCAGGCAGGAAAACGUGGAUGAUUACUACGACACUGGCGAGGAACUUGGCAGGUUUCAGCACAUUCUGUAACUGAAGACUCAUUCUGCCAUUGGUCAAGGCUUGGAUAGCCUCAGCUGUCUAUGCCAGGCACUCCCUAGCCUUAUGGAACUAGAAUCACAAAGACGUGGUCUCUGGACUCCAGACCCAGGCCUACAUCCUCCUGACUGACACGCCA